CUUUAUUAUGGAAGAUUGAAAACUCAACAAGUACAGAAAAGGAAAAGGCCUUGUCUUUUAUUUUGUUGGUUUCUUAUAUGGAAGGAUUCAUCUUGGUGUUUUGCUAGAAAUCAUUGUAUUAUUUUUUUAAUUGGCGCAUAUUUCACACAUAUAAAAUGGAGGGUGCAAGGAAGAGAAAGCUAGCUAUCUGCUCCAGAAAAUGGGGAACUGGAAGGGUUGGAGGUACUUCAAGAGGAUGUCUAUCUACCCAAUUAAGAGUAUCCUUCUUAAAGUGACUUCAAACUUCAUGUUCAAAUCUAAAGGAAACAGAAAUGGACUUCUGAAUCUUUAUAAAGAUAUGGAGUCUUAUGGAGAAUACUCAGAUAUCCAAGUUAUGUGGAAGAUGAUCGAGUCUUCCUCUCCUCAAAACACAUCUAACAAGAAAAGGAUCAACAUGUCUUCAUACUGGGUCAUGUGUUUUAGGCCAACUUGAAAUAAUGUUGUGUGGUUAUUUAAAUGGUGAUGAAUUUUUCUUGAUGGAUGGAUGAGUCCAAAGGUUUAUUGAAAGCAUCAUAGGUUGAUGUAUGAGAAAGGGGAAUCACAUUUUCUUCGAGUUUCCAAGGGAAGUGAAAGUGAAUAAUCAGACUUUGAAUUAUUCAGUA